rnacentral:tRNA from 1 species
UAGCUCAGCUGGUAAAGAAUCUGCCUGCAAUGCAGGAGACCCAGGUUAAAUUCCUGG